UUGAACGCUGGCGGCAGGCCUAACACAUGCAAGUCGAGCGCGAAAGGUUUUCGGACUGAGUAAAGCGGCGGACGGGUGAGUAACGCGUGGGAAUCUGCCCAGUAGUGGGGGACAACAGCCGGAAACGGCUGCUAAUACCGCCUACGCCCUACGGGGGCAAGGGGGGGAUCUUCGGACCUCUCGCUAUUGGAUGAGCGCGCGUCGGAUUAGCUAGUUGGUAGGGUAAAGGCCUACCAAGGCUACGAUCCCUAACUGGUCUGAGAGGAUGAUCAGUCACACUGGAACUGAGACACGGUCCAGACUCCUACGGGAGGCAGCAGUGGGGAAUAUUGGACAAUGGGGGCAACCCUGAUCCAGCCAUGCCGCGUGCGUGAAGAAGGCCUUAGGGUUGUAAAGCACUUUCAGUGGGGAGAAAGGUUUGUCACCUAAUACGUGAUGAAAUUGAUGUUACCCACAGAAGAAGCACCGGCUAACUCCGUGCCAGCCGCCGCUGUAA
rnacentral:rRNA from 1 species